GAUCCUGGCUCAGAUUGAACGCUGGCGGCAUGCCUUACACAUGCAAGUCGAACGGCAGCAUGAUCUAGCUUGCUAGAUUGAUGGCGAGUGGCGAACGGGUGAGUAAUACAUCGGAACGUGCCCUGUAGUGGGGGAUAACUAGUCGAAAGAUUAGCUAAUACCGCAUACGACCUGAGGGUGAAAGUGGGGGACCGCAAGGCCUCAUGCUAUAGGAGCGGCCGAUGU
rnacentral:rRNA from 1 species